GCCGAGGCUAGAGUCACGUCUAGAUAUUGCCAAUUAUCUCGGUGUGCUAUAGUACUCGAACAGUAAUAACUGACCUUUAUUCACUGGCUGUCCUCUUCAUAGUACAGUCAGUCACCAGGUUAGUAACAGAA